AAGCUCGUAGUUGAAUUUCGGGAUCGACGGGUCGGUCGCGCCUCUGGUGUGUACUGGCCCUGUCGGUUUCUCCCUUCUGACGAACCGCGAUGUCAUUAAUUUGGUGUCGUGGGGAAUCAGGACUGUUACUUUGAAAAAAAUUAGAGUGUUUAAAGCAAGCAUUCACUUGAAUACAUUAGCAUGGAAUAAUGAAAUAGGACGUUUGAUCUUAUUUGUUGGUUUCUAAGAUCGACGUAAUGAUUAAUGGGAUAGUUGGG
rnacentral:rRNA from 1 species